rnacentral:rRNA from 1 species
GUUGGGUUAAGUCCCGCAACGAGCGCAACCCUUAUUCUAUGUUGCCAGCAAGUAAUGUUGGGGACUCAUGGAAGACCGCCGGGGUCAACUCGGAGGAAGGUGGGGAUGACGUCAAGUCCUCAUGCCCCUUAUGUCCAGGGCUGCAAACACGCUACAAUGGCCGAUACAAAGGGUCGCUUGCCCGCGAGGGUUGGCCAAUCCCAUAAAGUCGGUCUCAGUUCGGAUUGAAGUCUGCAACUCGACUUCAUGAAGCUGGAGUUGCUAGUAAUCCCGGAUCAGCACGCCGGGGUGAAUACGUUCCCGGGCCUUGUACACACCGCCCGUCACACCACGAAAGUCGGCAACACCCGAAGCCGGUGGCCUAACCGAAAGGAAGGAGCCGUCGAAGGUGGGGUCGGUGAUUGGGGUGAAGUCGUAACAAGGUACAAUCG